UAGCAAUCAAUAAGCGGAGGAAAAGAAACCAACAGGGAUUGCCCUAGUAACGGCGAGUGAAGCGGCAACAGCUCAAAUUUGAAAUCUGGCGUCUUCGGCGUCCGAGUUGUAAUUUGCAGAGGGCGCUUUGGCAUUGGCAGCGGUCCAAGUUCCUUGGAACAGGACGUCACAGAGGGUGAGAAUCCCGUACGUGGUCGCUAGCCUUUACCGUGUAAAGCCCCUUCGACGAGUCGAGUUGUUUGGGAAUGCAGCUCUAAAUGGGAGGUAAAUUUCUUCUAAAGCUAAAUACUGGCCAGAGACCGAUAGCGCACAAGUAGAGUGAUCGAAAGAUGAAAAGCACUUUGGAAAGAGAGUUAAAAAGCACGUGAAAUUGUUGAAAGGGAAGCGCUUGCAGCCAGACUUGCCUGUAGUUGCUCAUCCGGGUUUCUACCCGGUGCACUCUUCUAUAGGCAGGCCAGCAUCAGUUUGGGCGGUUGGAUAAAGGUCUCUGUCAUGUACCUCCUUUCGGGGAGAUCUUAUAGGGGAGACGACAUGCAACCAGCCUGGACUGAGGUCCGCGCAUCUGCUAGGAUGCUGGCGUAAUGGCUGUAAGCGGCCCGUCUUGAAACACGGACCAAGGAGUCUAACAUCUAUGCGAGUGUUUGGGUGUCAAGCCCGAACGCGUAAUGAAAGUGAACGGAGGUGGGAACCUUUCGGGGUGCACCAUCGACCGAUCCUGAUGUCUUCGGAUGGAUUUGAGUAAGAGCAUAGCUGUUGGGACCCGAAAGAUGGUGAACUAUGCUUGAAUAGGGUGAAGCCAGAGGAAACUCUGGUGGAGGCUCGCAGCGGUUCUGACGUGCAAAUCGAUCGUCAAAUUUGGGCAUAGGGGCGAAAGACUAAUCGAACUAUCUAGUAGCUGGUUCCUGCGAGUUUUC
rnacentral:rRNA from 1 species